rnacentral:rRNA from 1 species
CAGUCGCCGCGGGAAUACGUAGGUGGCAAGCGUUGUCCGGAAUUAUUGGGCGUAAAGCGCGCGCAGGUGGUUUAAUAAGUCUGAUGUGAAAGCCCACGGCUCAACCGUGGAGGGUCAUUGGAAACUGUUAAACUUGAGUGCAGGAGAGAAAAGUGGAAUUCCUAGUGUAGCGGUGAAAUGCGUAGAGAUUAGGAGGAACACCGGCGGCGAAGGCGGCUUUCUGGAUUGUAACUGACACUGAGGCACGAAAGCGUGGGUAGCAAACAGGAUUAGAUACCCCAGUAGUCCCUGUCUCUUAUAC